UUAAGUUCAGCGGGUAUUCCUACCUGAUCCGAGGUCAACCUUGGUGCCGCCGGAGCGGACUUGUGGGGGGUUUAGAGGCAGGACGCCGAGGGAUCCCAAUGCGAGGCUGAUGCUACUGCGCAAAGGAGAGGGCCUUCGGGUCCGCCACUGGUUUUAGGGGCCUGCCGUGGCAGAUCCCCAACGCCGGGCCACGGGGGCUC
rnacentral:misc_RNA from 1 species